rnacentral:rRNA from 1 species
UACGUAGGGGGCAAGCGUUGUCCGGAUUUAUUGGGCGUAAAGAGCUCGUAGGCGGUUCAGCAAGUCGGGUGUGAAAAUCUGGGCUCAACCCAGUGGAGCACCCGAUACUGCUGUGACUAGAGUCCGGUAGGGGAGUGUGGAAUUUCUGGUGUAGCGGUGAAAUGCGCAGAUAUCAGAAGGAACACCAACGGCGAAGGCAGCACUCUGGGCCGGUACUGACGCUGAGGAGCGAAAGCGUGGGGAGCGAACAGG